rnacentral:rRNA from 1 species
UACGAAGGGGACUAGCGUUGUUCGGAAUCACUGGGCGUAAAGCGCACGUAGGCGGUCUGUUAUGUCGGAUGUGAAAGCCCUUGGCUUAACUGAGGAAGUGCAUCCGAAACUGGCAGGCUAGAGUACUAAAGAGGGUCGCGGAAUUCCCGGUGUAGAGGUGAAAUUCGUAGAUAUCGGGAGGAACACCGGUGGCGAAGGCGGCGACCUGGGUAGAUACUGACGCUGAGGUGCGAAAGCGUGGGGAGCAAACAGG